CAUUUCUGGGCACUCUGCUGUUAACACUCAGGUCCCGCAGUGUCCAACCGAAACCCAACCAGGGCCACGGUUUUAAGAUCAGAUCUUCCACAAGAUUUGAGACGUAAAAUGAAGCCUGUGACCUCUCAGUGAGGUAGAUGUACAGAUGCAGAAGGGCAGGCCCUGAGCCUUCUGGUUCCCUGCAGCUCUACCUGCUCCAGUCUCCUGACUCCUAGAUUCAAGCCAAUCGGCAUCUGCAGAUAAACACAGGGACAGCAGGAGGGCCUGCACCGGAGGCUGACCCAGGGACACAUGUGUUCAUACAUCUAGUUUCAGCCCAGGCCACUUGAAACAAUUGCUCUGGGGGACAUCAGCUACCAUAUAAGAAGUCUGACUACCCUGAAACCACUGAGGAAACCCAAGCUGACCAUGUGGAGAGGACACAGAGAGAUGCCUGACAACCCAGCCACCGGACUGUAAGUGAAGCAGCUUCAGACGACUCAUCCUCAGCCACCAUCUAACAGUAACCACAUGAGAAACUCCAAAGGCCACCAGCUAAAGCCUGUCACAUCCCAGAACUGUGAAAGAUAGCAAUAAAUUGAUGUUUCAAGUCACCAAAUUUGGCAAUGGUUUGCUACACUGCAAUGAAUAAUGGAAAUGCCCAUUUCUGUUGGUGGCAUGACCCUAACUGGGCUCUGCCAUCAGCCUUGCUCAGGCCAGCUCCCAUAA